rnacentral:rRNA from 1 species
GCAUCGAUGAAGAACGCAGCGAAAUGCGAUAAGUAAUGUGAAUUGCAGAAUUUAGUGAAUCAUCGAAUCUUUGAACGCACAUUGCGCCCGCCAGUAUUCUGGCGGGCAUGCCUGUUCGAGCGUCAUUUCAACCCUCAAGCCCCCUGGGCUUGGUGUUGGAGAUCGGCAAAACGGCCCCCUCGGGGGUUCGCGCCGUCUCCCAAAUCUAGUGGCGGUCUCGCUGUAGCUUCCUCUGCGUAGUAACUCACCUCGCACUGGGACUGGGCGCGGCCACGCCGUUAAACACCCCACUUCUGAAGGUUGACCUCGGAUCAGGUAGGACUACCCGCUGAACUUAAGCAUAUCAAUAAGCGGAGGA